rnacentral:rRNA from 1 species
CGAGUCGGCGCUCCGCCGGGUGCCACUCCCCGGCGCANGACGAGCCGACUCNGGAAGAGAGAAGAAGAAGAAGACGUGUAGCGUCGACCUCAGAUCAGA